GAUGAACGCUAGCGACAGGCUUAACACAUGCAAGUCGAGGGGCAGCGGGGGUAGCAAUACCCGCCGGCGACCGGCGCACGGGUGAGUAACGCGUAUGCAACUUACCUAUCAGAGGGGGAUAACCCGGCGAAAGUCGGACUAAUACCGCAUGAAGCAGGGGCCCGCAUGGGGAUAUUUGCUAAAGAUUCAUCGCUGAUAGAUAGGCAUGCGUUCCAUUAGGCAGUUGGCGGGGUAACGGCCCACCAAACCGACGAUGGAUAGGGGGUCCGAGAGGAAGGUCCCCCACACUGGUACUGAGACACGGACCAAACUCCUACGGGAGGCAGCAGUGAGGAAUAUUGGUCAAUGGGCGCGAGCCUGAACCAGCCAAGUCGCGUGAGGGAUGAAGGUUCUAUGGAUCGUAAACCUCUUUUAUAAGGGAAUAAGGUGCGGGACGUGUCCUGUUUUGUAUGUACCUUAUGAAUAAGCAUCGGCUAACUCCGUGCCAGCCGCCGCAGUAA
rnacentral:rRNA from 1 species